rnacentral:rRNA from 1 species
GACGAACGCUGGCGGCGUGCUUAACACAUGCAAGUCGAACGAGACGAUUUAGAAGCUUGCUUUUAAUGAGUCGAGUGGCAAACGGGUGAGUAACGCGUAGACAACCUGCCGCAAAGAUGGGGACAACAGUCCGAAAGGACUGCUAAUACCGAAUGUUGUAUCUCCUCUGCAUGGAAGAGAUAUUAAAGAUGGCCUCUACUUGUAAGCUAUCGCUUUGCGAUGGGUCUGCGUCUGAUUAGCUAGUUGGUGGGCAACGGCCUACCGAAGGCGACGAUCAGUAGCCGGUCUGAGAGGAUGAACGGCCACAUUGGAACUGAGACACGGUCCAGACUCCUACGGGAGGCAGGCAGUGGGAAUCUUCCGCAAUGGGCGAAAAGCCUGACCGGAGCAACGCCGACGUCGAGUGAAGAAGGUCGUUCGGAUCGUAAAGCUCUGUUGUCGGGGACGAAUGUUGAGAUCUAGAAUAUAGAU